GGUCAAGCUAUAAAGGGCUCA
rnacentral:rRNA from 1 species